rnacentral:rRNA from 1 species
GCAGUGGGGAAUUUUGGACAAUGGGGGCAACCCUGAUCCAGCCAUGCCGCGUGAGUGAAGAAGGCCUUCGGGUUGUAAAGCUCUUUUGGUCGGGAAGAAAGGGCUCUGCUUAAUAGGUGGGGUCUAUGACGGUACCGGCAGAAUAAGCACCGGCUAACUACGUGCCAGCAGCCGCGGUAAUACGUAGGGUGCGAGCGUUAAUCGGAAUUACUGGGCGUAAAGCGUGCGCAGGCGGUUCGUUAAGUCUGAUGUGAAAGCCCCGGGCUCAACCUGGGAAUGGCAUUGGAAACUGGCGGGCUGGAGUAUGGCAGAGGGGGGUGGAAUUCCACGUGUAGCAGUGAAAUGCGUAGAGAUGUGGAGGAACACCGAUGGCGAAGGCAGCCCCCUGGGCCAAUACUGACGCUCAGGCACGAAAGCGUGGGGAGCAAACAGGAUUAGAUACCCUGGUAGUCCACGCCCUAAACGAUGAUCACUGGGUGUUGGGGAAGCGAUUCCUUGGUACCGUAGCUAACGCGUGAAGUGAUCCGCCUGGGGAGUACGGUCGCAAGAUUAAAACUCAAAGGAAUUGACGG